AUUGAACGCUGGCGGCAUGCUUUACACAUGCAAGUCGAACGGCAGCGCGGGCUUCGGCCUGGCGGCGAGUGGCGAACGGGUGAGUAAUACAUCGGAACGUGCCCAGUAGUGGGGGAUAGCUCGGCGAAAGCCGGACUAAUACCGCAUACGACCUGAGGGUGAAAGCGGGGGAUCUUCGGACCUCGCGCUAUCGGAUCGGCCGAGGGCAGAUUAGCUAGUUGGUGGGGUAAAGGCCUACCAAGGCGACGAUCUGUAGCUGGUCUGAGAGGACGACCAGCCACACUGGGACUGAGACACGGCCCAGACUCCUACGGGAGGCAGCAGUGGGGAAUUUUGGACAAUGGGCGAAAGCCUGAUCCAGCAAUGCCGCGUGUGUGAUGAAGGCCUUCGGAUUGUAAAGCACUUUUGGCGGGAAGGAAAAGGACUGUGCCAAUACCACGGUUCGAUGACGGUACCCGCAGAAUAAGCACCGGCUAACUACGUG
rnacentral:rRNA from 1 species